GGGCCAUGGGAUCAGUGGGAUUGCAGGGAUGGAUGGGACCAUCAGUGAGGUCAUGGGAUCAGUGUGAUCGCUGGUGUGGAUGGGAGCAUCACUGGGAUCCAUGGGAUCAGUGGGAUCGUUGGGAUGGAUGGGAUCAUUGUUGGGGUCAUGGGAUCGAUGGGUGACAUGGGUGGGAUCAAUGGUGGGAUCAAUGGGAUGGAUGGGAUCAUUGGGGUCAUGGGCUCAAUGGGUGAUAUGGGUGGGAUCAGGGAUGGGAUCAUCAGCGGCAUCCAUGGGAUCAGUGGGAUCAGUGGGAUGGAUGGGAACAUCAGUGGGGUCAUGGGAUCAGUGGGAUCGCUGGUGUGGAUGGGAUAAUCACUGGGAUCCAUGGGGUCAGUGGGAUCUUUGGGAUGGAUGGGAUCAUUGUUGGGGUCAUGAGAUCAGUGGGAUUACUGGAAUGGGUGGGAUCAUUGGUGGGAUCGGCGUAGUGGAUGGGAUCAGUGGGAUCAUCAGCGGGAUGUAUGGGAACACUGAGACUGGGAUAGCUGGGAUGGAUGGGAUCAGCAGCGGCGUCAUGGGAUCGAUGGUGACAUCACCAGUGGGAUCAUGGGUGGCAUCAGGGGGAUCGUUGGGAUGGGUGGGAUCACUGAGGGAUGGAUGGGAUGGGUCGGAUCGCUGCUGGCAUCAGUGGG
ensembl:lncRNA